rnacentral:rRNA from 1 species
UACGUAGGGUGCGAGCGUUAAUCGGAAUUACUGGGCGUAAAGCGUGCGCAGGCGGUGAGCUGUGUCCGAUGUGAAAGCCCCGGGCUUAACCUGGGAAUGGCAUUGGAAACUGGCUCGCUGGAGUGUGGCAGGAGGGGGGUGGAAUUCCGCGUGUAGCAGUGAAAUGCGUAGAUAUGCGGAGGAACACCGAUGGCGAAGGCAAUCCCCUGGGCCUGCACUGACGCUCAUGCACGAAAGCGUGGGGAGCAAACAGG